UCUUUAAGUUAUUAUGUUCGUUGUUUAAUAUUUAGUUUUGGCUCUAACAUUGUUUGCACUAAUUUUACGCAGAUGACAAUCAAAAUUCUGAAGAUCAUCAACUCGAUGGUAUUUUGUGGGGUUUGACAUUUGGAGCAGCUUCUGCAAUAGCUUUCAAGACCAUUGGUGCUCUAUUUCCUGGACGAACUGCUAAAACUGAUGAAAAUAAGAAGGAGAAAGUUACUCAAGUUAUUAUACCUGCUAUUAAUAUUAAUGUGCCUCCCAAGUUAAGCGAACAAUUGAAACUCCAGCACACCGUUGCACCUGCCAGUAAAGCUGAUGAUACAUCAAGAAAUUCUCAAACUACUUCUGCAACUACUCCUAAAGCCACGAGUCGUAAUCUGUCAUGUGGGGAACUGAUAGACUUAUUCACUGAUUGCAAAGAGUCGUGGCAUGAGAAACGAUGUGACUCCUAUACUAAGAUUAUGAAGAAAUUUUGCAACGGAUCAGUAACUGCAGCUGCUGGCCCUUCCCCAUCCGAUAUUGGCUCCACUCUUCUUCUGGGAUCCGCCUUUGGAUGCUUGAACAAGCUGCGGCAUUCGUCGUCAGACAGAGAUAAAAUUGCCUGCUUGGAAAAAUACAGCAAAUUGGUGCAAAUGACCCGAUGAUCUAUCUGAAAGAGAAGUCCAAAAGCAACUCAUGAUUUAGUGAUUAAUAUUAUAUAUGGUUUUGAUCAGUACGUAGUUUAAUUUACCCGCUAAGGGUUUAUACUUUUGUGACGUUUUUUUCGAUUCUAUUGUACUUUAGGAUGUUCUAUUUAAUUGGUUUGUGGAAUAUCUCUUCUCACAAAUUUUAGUGUUUGUUCCAAAAUGAUGUAGUUGUAGUAUUUAUAUUAAAACGUACUAGUAUUAAUUU